rnacentral:rRNA from 1 species
UACAGGGGGGGCAAGCGUUGUUCGGAAUUACUGGGCGUAAAGGGCUCGUAGGCGGCCAACUAAGUCACACGUGAAAUCCCCAGGCUUAACCUGGGAACUGCGUGUGAUACUGGAUGGCUUGAAUUCGGGAGAGGGAUGCAGAAUUCCAGGUGUAGCGGUGAAAUGCGUAGAUAUCGAGAGGAACACCUGCGGCGAAGGCGGGUUGCUGGGCUGACACUGACGCUGAGGCGCGAAAGCUAGGGGAGCGAACGGG